rnacentral:rRNA from 1 species
CCUACGGGAGGCAGCAGUAGGGAAUAUUUCUCAAUGGGGGAAACCCUGAAGCAGCAACGCCGCGUGGAGGAUGAAGGUUUUCGGAUUGUAAACUCCUUUUGUUAGAGAAGAUAAUGACGGUGUCUAACGCAUAAGCACCGGCUACCUCCGUGCCAGCAGCCGCGGGAAUACGGAGGGUGAAAGCGUUACUCGGAAUCACUGGGCGUAAAGAGCGCGUAGGCGGGAUAGCAAGUCAGAUGUGAAAGCCUAGGGCUUAACCAUAGAACUGCAUUUGAAACUGUGAGUCUAGAGUAUGGGAGAGGGAGGUGGAAUUCUUGGUGUAGCAGUAAAAUCCGUAGAGAUCAAGAGGAAUACUCGUUGCGAAGGCGACCUGCUAGAACAUAACUGACGCUGAUGCGCGAAAGCGUGGGGAGCGAACAGGAUUAGAUACCCCAGUAGUC